CGAUCCCAGAUAUUUAGACUCAAUGUCUUUGGGAUUUGCGAGAAAUAAAGCAAGGACAGCAUGGAACAAGCGACACAACAAGAAGUUGAUAGAAAACUCCUAAUUCGAAGCAGGAGCAAACGAGUUGCAGGAUGGUCAAGGGACUCCAAAAAGAGACGUUGACAAGGAGUAAGGAGCAGAAGUGAACAAGAGACACAACAAGAAAGACUGAACCUCUUGAGGAUCUCCGAAAAAUAACGGAAAUUUGCAUGGAACAAGAGACACACCAAUAAGUUGACAAAAUACAGCCAAAACGAGAUGGGAGCAAAUGUGUUGCAGGAUGGUCAAGGAACACCGCAAAUAGACGUUGAGAAGCAGUAAGGGGCAGAAGGAAACCAGAGACACAACAAGAAAG